rnacentral:snRNA from 1 species
UUUUGUACUAUCUCGACA